rnacentral:lncRNA from 1 species
GCCUUGUGAGAAACUACUUCCACUUCCUUUGCAGCCAGUGCAGUUAACCAGAGAAAUUAGUGCUUAAUAUGAUGGUAGAAUGGUGAUAGACCAUGGUCCAUGUGCUGUCCUAAAGUAAUGAACUACUCCAUAGCUGGACAUGUGUAUGUGUAGGUAAGGCAGAAUAACAUUUUGCACACAAAAGCAGGAUUUUCCCAACCUUAUUUGAAGCAGCCUCCCUAUUCUGACUAUAAAAUUUCCCAUUGUAUUUGAAAGAAAUGACAAUUUCUUCCCCAGGUUGCACCCCACGAAAUUCUCUGGCCGAGAUGAAUCCUGCCACAGCGUGUCUGGAAGAAGCAGCGCCUCGGGGGAGCUGUGAGGAGCUGCAGGGAAGUGUCCUCUGUGACCACAAGAAGAGUGCAUGCUGCCUGGUGCUGAUGUGGUUCACCAAAAACUCGGGCUGCUCCUUUACCAGGGACCAUGAGACCACAGUUGUAGUCCAGGGGAAGUGGUGGCCCCUUCAACGGUGCUUGAAGAUGCUCUCUGGAAGAGAGGAGUCUCCCCAUCCCCAGGAGCAAGGUACUGCCCAUUCUCAUACAUUUGCCUUGGCCAUUUCAGAGGAGGAAAGGCCAACAUUUCUCCAUAGUUAAUGAUUUCUUGUCCUCCUCAGUGCUCAAAGUUAUUGGUUGGCAAAGACUCUGAGAGCUAAAGAUGGUGGUAACAGAGCAGGCACUUAAAGUGAGCAGCAUUUCCCUGGGAUGUGAGAGCAGGUGAUCCCCUUGAUGGGACUAACAGGGUACCAUUUCUUAUCUAAUCAGUAAUUAUCUGGGCUAUAUGAUUAGGGUGUCUGGGGUUAGAAACUGCUUCACAGAAUGAACUUUCUCUUACUGGGUUUUGGAGCAGGCAGGUGAGAAGUAGAAUGACUGUGAAUGGUUCGUUGUUUUAAACUGUGUAAUCUUGGCUGUGCAUUUGUGGAGGUUUUGGUGCCUGGGGAGUAUCAGAAACAGAUUCUGGACAUUCACCGCACAUCCAAAAGGCUUGAGUGGUGGAGACUCAAAUGUCCCAUAGCAAUAGUUAGAAGGAAAGAAAUGUGCCCACAGCACCAGUCAUGUAUGAGAUGGGAAAAUUGUAAAAGUUGACGCUGAAGUCAAAAUUCCAAAAUAUUGCAGCAACCUGAGGAGAAAAAAACCCCACAUUUUCAGAAGUCAAAUUCUCAAAGCAGCUUAUAGAAAGCCUGAAAGCUGACACUCAGUGAUUUACAGGAACCUGAUCGUGAGGGAGCUGGAGAUGUUCAGCCUGGAGAAAAGGAGGCUGAGGGGAGACCUUCUCGCUCUCUCCAACUCCCUGAAAGGAGGGUGUAGCCAGGGGGGGUCGGUCUCUUCUCCCAAGGAACAGGCGAUGGGACAAGAGGAAACAGCCUCAAGUUGCACCAGGGGAGGUUCAGAUUGGAGAUUAGGAAAAAUUUCUCCACUGA